rnacentral:lncRNA from 1 species
UAGAUAGAUCAUAGAUUCUUCCCACAGUAACAUCAAGGGAAGCGUUAAUCUUCAGCACAAUAAUUUAGAUGGCAUCUAAUUCUUGUUCCAAUAUAUUAUCAUUCUUCUCUAUCUUUCGAACAUAAUUCACAUCAUGCUCUUGCACUUUACUUUGGUUCGAUUCUUUUUCCUUUGAGUCAUGAUCAUCCGUAUCAACAAUAAAAAAAACUGAGUAUUUUCUGUUAAUUGAUUUUACAAACCAAUAAAUUUCCAGGCAUUCAAGGAAAUAUGAUAAUCCAAUUCUAGGCUCACAAACUUCAGAGCAUUUAGGAAUUAAAGAAAUUGAUGAAAUUAUUUUUUGAUUGAGGUUAGUCAAGGUUUCUCUGUUGAUAUUGUUGGUGUUAUUUACAUGUACAACAAAGCAAGGCAUAUGUAAGAUUUUUAGUACACUUUACAAGACAGCAAAUUACUUCUCAAAAUUCCUAAAUUUGACAGAAAAAAACUAACUCUGUAACUGCCUAUCACCACCACUGCUUCACUAUUCCUUACCUUUUCUCAGCAUUCCUCUUCUGCAAAACAAUCACCUCUUCAACCAUCUUCCUUGACCUUCUGCUAGCAGCUUAUUCUUCUAUUCUUUAUUAAACAUGCCUCUGCCUCUGUUGUGCCUAAAUGGAUUUAUUACUGCAUUAAAAAAUGCCUCAAUUUCCCACUUAACUAAACCAUUUUCCAACACCUAUAACCUAGCUGAACCUGCUUAAUCUUAGCAGUGUCAGCUUUGUUACAUUGUUUAGCCACAUGUGAGAUAAAGAUAAUCACAUAAGGAAACAAGAUACAAACACAACAACUAAAUUUAUUAUUGAGAAAGAAAACAUAAAGUGCAAGCAGUGGUAGGUUACAAUUGGGUUCUGCAUAAUAUACUCAACCAGUGGCUAAACAAAAAGUUUAUUUUCUUCUUCCAAUAUUGUCUUGUCUUGAGUUGAAUAACUCUUACCAUCUUUUUUUGAUAAACAUAACAUUGUUUUCAUAAAUAUUACCAUUACCGUUUCCCUGGAACCUUCCACCAUUGGAGACCCCUCUUGCAUUUUUGGGGGUGGCACGAGGUACUGGUAUGGAAACACUAUCACUGUCUUCACUGUCAGACUGCCAAAACAUUUUACCCCUCCGUUUAUGAUGGCAAUGAGGGCACAUGGUAGGCUUCCAAAUCCCAGUUCUACUGACUUCAGCAAACACGUAAAGUAAUGCAGAGACAGGAUGCUGCUCAGGGCCCUCCACUGUUACGUCAAAUUUUCCAUUGGAUACUCCAAUCUUAACGUGUGACAGCUGUUUCAGUUUUAUAAGGUGUGGCAGCUGGCCUAUUCUUGCGGCUAUUUAGACCAUCUUUUGGGCUUGGGGUUCCUCUAUGUGGAGGACAACGUGGCCAUUGUUCUAGUAGUAUUCUUCUUUGUGUGCUGGAGCGUAUGUUGCUGGUUUGUGUACUUAGGUGUCCUUGGCAUUAAUCUUUGAUGAAAUGAUUUGGAAGGUUAUGUGCAAGGCUUAAAUAUAUUUCUGAUGUUGAGGUGGACAGACAAAGAAAGCAGGAAUAAUCCACACAUACUUCAGAUUUUAGAGCCACAUGUGCACAACAGUUUUGGCGGCAGCUUCCUCAUCCACUCAAUUCUCUGGAAUCACAGAAGAAAGCCCUCGGAUUACAACACAACAUCAACCCUGCUGUCAGCAGAGGAAUAGAAGGGUAUGGAUGCCAAUUUCAUUGGCUUUGGGGCAGCAGAAUGUUGAUUUGAAAUACCAAGAAUGUUGGAGGAAUUUAUGAUCAAGCAGCAAGCAAAUGUGCAGGGCAGGCUGAACUCUCUUUCUUUGCAUACAUUAGACGAGCAGCUGGAGUGCUUGUUUAUUAAUGGUGCAGAUUUGGAGUAGCCAUGUGAGGAAUCAAAGUGGUGCUAAUCAGGAGCUUUAUAUGUGCAAAUCGGGUGCAAAUCUGGAGCAUCAGAAUUUAUGAUGCAGUUUUAGCUGCCUUGGGUGCUUUUUCCUCUAUUUUUUUCGAGGUCAUUAUCAUCUUCAAAAGGGGAAGCAGUUUGGUAGACACCAACCCUGGUGCUGGUGUCGCAGCUCCAAUACCCUGUUCAACAGAGGCAAUAUUCCUCUGAAUUUGUAUUCUGGUUUCUGUUUUAUGGGUAUGCAGGAAGAUGCAGGGUUUCGCAGAUUUGGCCUGGAGUGGAUCUGCUCAUUAUGGUUUGCAAGGUGCUGGUAUGCAAGGGUCUGAACAAGAGGUUUGCUGGAUGUUUUUGAAAGGGGAGCUGGUAGGUGUUGAAUUUGACAAGCUGUAGCUCUUUCAAAGAGGAAUGCUAUGGAAGGGGCCUGAUUUAUGCUGUAGAAGGCAUUUUUUAACUGCAUAUUAUAUGCAGAAACGCCGCAGUUAGGGGCUGGUCUUGUAGUUUUGCUGACGGAUGUUGAGCUCCUAUAACAGGCAUAGAAGAGGUUGGUUGAGGUGAAGUUAGGGUGCUGUUUUAGUGCAGUUUUUUCUGCAUAAUUAUGCAGCAUUCAAUGUAACCAAUUUACAUUCCUCUGGUUUGGCUUUUCUGUCAUGACUUCUUUUGUUUUUUAUGUGGCUCUUAUCUUGUAUAAGUGCUGAGACACCCUAAAAAAUCCCUCUUAAUUUAUUUUUAUUCUUUAUCGAUAAGAAAAAAAAUAGGCCAUCAGAAUUACAUUAGCUUUUCCUGCAUAAUUAAACUCCAUCCCAUUCUAGAAGCUGCACCUGUGAUUCAAAUAUAUAUCCUUCUCAAUUGCUAACCCACACCAACAGCUCCUGCAGCACCCACCUUUCACUCCAAUGCUGCUUAACUCUUGAACUAAAUGCUCCACCAGCAGCCUUAUUUGAAGCUAGCAAUUAUGCAGCAAAAAACCUCCUCUAUGCUGCAUAGAUCACUAGCAUAUGGCAAUAAAUUGACCACCUUAGUCAGAUCGUAUCUAAUUAGCAAUCAAGUUUAGUUACUAUAGCAACUAAUUAUUAUUUUUGAAUAAAAUUUGUUUCUAUUUCAUAUUUUUCUAGUAGUGUAAGUGCAAGUUAAAAAAAAAAAAAAGCUAUUUUUUUUUGAAGAGGCAAAACAAAACUUUAUUAAUAGUGGAUACUUUGUAUAUAGUCAUGUUUAGCCACAUGUGAGAUAAAGAUAAUCACAUAAGUAAACAAGAUACAGAGACACAACACCAAAAUUUAUUAUUGAGAAAGAAAACAUAAAGUGCAAGCAAGGUUACAAUCUGCAUAAUAUACACCAUCAGUGGCUAAACAAAAAGUUUAUUUCCAAGAUUGUCUUGUCAUGAGCUGAAUUACUGUUACCGUUUUUUUUCUGACAAUUAUAACAUUGUUUUCAUAAAUAUUACCAUUACCGUUUCCCUUGAACCUUCCACCAUUGGAGACCCCUCUUGCAUUUUUGGGGGUGGCACGAGGUACUGGUAUGGAAAUACUAUCACUGUCUUCACUAUCAGACUGCCAAAACACUUUACCCCUCCGUUUAUUAUGGCAAUGAGGGCACAUGCUAGGUUUCCAAAUCCCAGUUCUUUUGACUUCAUCAAACAUGUAAAGUAAUGCAGAGACAGGAUGUUGCUCAGGGCCCUCCACUGUUACGUCAAAUUUUCCAUUGGAUACUCCACACUUUGCCACCACAGAAAGCCCAAUAUCUGUUCC